GGCAGCCGCGGUUCACUCUCCCCGGAUGCACCUCCACACCUGUCCAUGCUGUCACUCAGCCAUUCCAGGCUGUUUUUAUCUUCCUGUGGUUCUCAUCAUACUUCCUGUGGAAAGUGGAGGCUGUCUGCAGCAUGUGCACAGCUGUUUGGAACACCUCCAUAUUGAAGUCCUCCACAACCACAGCGUUAUCACUGCCAUGUGAUGAGCCUGAUUCCCAAGUCAUCUGUAAUGUGGAAUCCAUAAACUUCUCAAUGAAGAAAGUUAUUUGAAUUCUUAUUUUUUAAUGGUGGGGCUUAAAAAUUCCCAUUUCAGACCUGUAGUUUUAAAAUGAACCUCCAGUGUGUAUGUCAGCAGAUGAAAUUUCUGAGGAAAAUUGCUCUCAUGCCAUUCUCGUCUCCUCUCCUUUUCUCUGUCUCUUUCUGUCACACACUUACUCUAUCCACACACAUACUCCUUUUUUAAUCAGGAUUUACUUCAGAUUUGGUAAAUUUGGCUUUAUGCUAUUUUAUAUGUGCUUGUAUCUCUGGCAUCUUACAAAAAACUAUUUUUCAUGAGCUCAAAAAUCAUUUUGACACAAAAAAUUGUUUAUUUAAUUUUUUCAUAUGUGAAUUGUUUUUUAAUUGUGUUUCAUUCAAUACUUCAAACUGUAUGUGAAACUUCUGUGGUAAUUGCAGAGCAUUAGUGUAAUCACAUUAUAUUUUUGUUUUACUAUACUAAAUACAGUUACAAUUAUGUCAUUA
ensembl:lncRNA